AUUGAACGCAGGCGGCAUGCCUUACACAUGCAAGUCGAACGGCAGCACGGGUGCUUGCACCUGGUGGCGAGUGGCGAACGGGUGAGUAAUACAUCGGAACGUACCUUAUCGUGGGGGAUAACGCAGCGAAAGCUGUGCUAAUACCGCAUACGCCCUGAGGGGGAAAGCGGGGGAUCGAAAGACCUCGCGCGAUUAGAGCGGCCGAUGCCUGAUUAGCUUGUUGGUGGGGUAAAAGCCCACCAAGGCGACGAUCAGUAGCUGGUCUGAGAGGACGAUCAGCAACACUGGGACUGAGACACGGCACAGACUCCUACGGGAGGCAGCAGUGGGGAAUUUUGGACAAUGGGGGCAACCCUGAUCCAGCAAUGCCGCGUGAGUGAAGAAGGCCUUCGGGUUGUAAAGCUCUUUUGUCAGGGAAGAAACACCGGCUCUAACACAGUCCGGGAAUGACGGUACCUGAAGAAUAAGCACCGGCUAACUACGUGCCAGCCGCCGCAGUAA
rnacentral:rRNA from 1 species